CGGAAUUGAUGUGACUCUCAGGUGGCGGGUCUGCAGAGGGGACUAUAAACAGUCUGGUGGCUGUUCAAGACCAGUCCUUCAGCAAGGUGUAUGAUGGAUGCAGGUAGUGGAUCCCUGGUGGUGGUGGUGGUGGUGGUGGAGGAGGAGAGGGGAUCACAUGGCGGGCCCAUGCGGGUGUGCAGCUGCCGGCUGAAGGCUGAAGUUACAGGUUGAAGAAGUCAAGGGAAGCGGCAGGGUGCUCCUGGGAUGUUCAAAGUGUCUGCCUGCAUAACAACAAAAACACGAAACCAGUUAAACAACCA
ensembl:lncRNA